rnacentral:tRNA from 1 species
GGGAAUGUGGCUUAGUGGUAGAGUGCUUGCUUUGCAUUCAUGAAGCCCUGGGUUCCAUCCCCCAUACCUC